GAAAAGAAACCAACAGGGAUUACCUCAGUAACGGCGAGUGAAGCGGUAACAGCUCAAAUUUGAAAUCUGGGUCUUUCAGGCUCCGAGUUGUAAUUUGUAGAAGAUGCUUUGGGUGCGGCCCCGGUCUAAGUUCCUUGGAACAGGACGUCAUAGAGGGUGAGAAUCCCGUAUGUGAUCGGUGGCUUGCGCCCGUGUAAAGCUCUUUCGACGAGUCGGGUUGUUUGGGAAUGCAGCUCUAAAUGGGUGGUAAAUUUCAUCUAAAGCUAAAUAUUGGCCAGAGACCGAUAGCGCACAAGUAGAGUGAUCGAAAGAUGAAAAGGACUUUGGAAAGAGAGUUAAACAGUACGUGAAAUUGUUGAAAGGGAAGCGCUUGCAACCAGACUUGCGCGGGGUUGAUCAUCCGGGGUUCUCCCCGGUGCACUCGGCCUCGCUCAGGCCAGCAUCGGUUUCGGUGGUUGGAUAAAGGCCUUGGGAAUGUGACUUCCUUCGGGGAGUGUUAUAGCCCUCGGUGCAAUGCAGC
rnacentral:rRNA from 1 species